GCAUCCUCUUGUUAGAGGCUUUCUUUGCGCAGGAUCCCCUUUCUUCUCAGAAGAGUUAGGGAAGGCAAAGGAAGAAAGCCGGGCAGGUGCUUUAAGAAGGCGCCAGUUGACUCCCCAUAGGCAGAAGAUUCCUAUCCAGUUGGGGUCCCUUAGAGCGAGUUCCAUUCUUUCAGCCCUGAAUGUCUUUCCUUCUGCCUCCCCAGUUCAACAAUAGGAUUCUAUCUUCUGGUUAAGCAAGAUCUUAGUCAUUUCGCCUUUGUGUGAUAACUCUAUCUUUCUGGAAGCUACCUCCCCUCUCUCUUUAUGCACUUGCCUAGAAGGCUUAGGUGUCCGUGGGUAAGCAACCGCUGCUUAUCGAUUAAUAGAGCCAGCUCCACGUCCGAGCCUUAGAAUAGAACAAGACAUUUGAAUUCUAGCGCACUAGCCUUAGCUAGACUCCUGCUUCAAGUGCUGAUUUGAAUUUCUUAGUUGAAGGAGUGAGAAUAGGCCUAAGGGAAUAAUCAAUCCUGGGGUUCCUUUUGUCUUUCUUUUUUCUUGGGGGGCCCUGUGUAAGGGCGGACGGGAAUGCCUACCCCUCUAAAUCAGUCUUCCUCCGCCCGAAUCGGAAUCAAAGUAGUAUCCACCUUCUUCCUUUGCCGGUAUCCUAAGAUCGAUCUCUUGACUAAGUCAUUUCACACGUUGCACUGAGAACAAGGGACUGAUCCCGUACCGUGCUACUGCCUUGACCUAGGAUUCUUUUCCUCACAUCGGAUUCUGAACUGAAAAACGGAAGCUUUCAUUUUGUGCAAGGCCUCAAACUGCCAAACGACGUGUUAGAGUUCAAAAUGACCGGUUGGAUCGUUACAUUCUUCCCCACUUAAGCAUAUGUUCAUCCUCAAACGUGACAAGAAUCGUUCCACAGUUGCUCAAAAUCACUGCUUGACACCACGUACACCUACCUGUGCCACCACAACCCACGUGAGCAUAUUAGCUCAAGCUAGACUGAAGAUUCUCCCUUUUUAUUUUCUCAAUAAGCCUUAGAACCAAAUUCAAACCUCUAAGCUUCUCUAUUAGAGUUGGUUCUAACAUACGAACAUUGUAUUAAUCUCCACAUGCUAAACUCACACAUGAUCAUGCACCCAUGCUGAUAUCACACAAUGCAUCGCAUAACUCAUUUGCUCACGAUAACCUCCUCCAAGUACAACAGCUGCAAAUUCACUAACUCGAUGACCGUAGUAUACCUCAUAAAUCCAGUUUUAACCCCCACAAUACUGCAAAAAUGAGAGAUAGUGUAAGAACUCAUAACCACAUGUCAAAUCAAUAACUCGUUGUGUUUCUUCGCUUGACAAGGACCGGUACCUCAUUUAGAGCUGAAUACUGACAUUCUUUCUUUAUAUACAUUACAUAAAUUUGAUCGCAUCGAUUUUAGGUCCAAUAGCCUCGUCUCACCUAGUACCAGGUGCUCAGAUAAUAAGCUACCUCAAAAACUAAACAACAUUGCACAUGACGCCAUCAAUGUGCCAAAAGAUACAACUUGAAUAUGACACAUAAGGAGGAACAAAUUCUAGAAAAGAACUACCCAGCCCACGUAACGAAUAAAAUGGUCGAACAUGCGCUAUGAACCCUUCUUAGAGGAUGAAAAAAAUAUACAAGAAUAGAUAUGGGGAACCAUACGCAGCAUCUCACUGUUGUGGCAUGCAACACGAUCCACACAUGAUACCGUUGUGGCAUGCAACCCAGUCCAAAUAUGAUACAUGUGGCUGCGUGCCACCCAAUCCACAUAUAACAAUAAAUAAGUAAGUACCCAUCAAGCGAAAAUACUUAUACCUACGAAAUACCCGAAUAUCGAUCACAAGCAUGCCACAUGCAUAAUACAAUUUCCAGGGAGACAGAUAGCGCCAUACACUACAAAAUCCAAGCAUGACUAAGGUGCGAUAAAUGACUUGUAUCUCGAGAGUCAUCUUGAUCAUAUAGCACCACAAGCUACAUGAGAUCACAAUACAUGUGUGAAUAAUCAAGACGCCUCACAACCCACAUGGAAUAAUAGAGUACCACAUAGAAUAGUUGAUGACGGAAAUAACAUCCAACGCCUGAAGACUCCUCCAUAAGAAAUGUUAUGCUUAAUGAACACAUAUGACCUAAUGUAGAGCAUAUAUUCACAUUAGAUCUACCAACGGACCUCAAGCCGGUCCCGAUCAUCCCAUACUGGGUGAAUAACCAUACAAGGAUCUACAAUGGCCAUAUUCCUACCACACAUGAGCAGCCGUCCAAUUUGACCUAGCUCCCAUAAUCCGCAACCAAAUGACUAGAGUGCCUUUCAGGCAUAAACUCUCACAUAAGCGAUUGUACCUAAAAUGUCCAUACUUAGUUUCAAUCAUUCACAAGUAAGUGACUAACACGUCACAUUUAUAAAAAAUCCCCCAUUAGAUACUCUCCCACGACCUCCCGCAUUAGGUAGAAAAGUUUGCACCUCCACAUCACCGGUCGUACUAAUUCUGUAAAGCUAACCAAGAGUCCACAAAUUAAUACAAUAUCUCUCACCCAGGACACCAUUUUUAGGUGACACAAAGAUAAUGAUGUCCUCAAAACAUCUGAAAUUUUUCCUGAUCAUCCAAGCUCUAAAAUUCUUAUCAACAUCGAGCCGCAACAUUGAUCAUUAACUCCAAUUCGCAUGCCGCUCACUGCACCUAUCACGCCACUAUGCUAGAGUAAAGAAUCUCGUCAUAACUGCUGAACCACCAAUAGAAUAUAUACUUCAUCAUCUGGAACCCCUUUCACAAAACACAUUUCAGAAGAACGAUGGCAACACGCAAUCGAAUUCCCAUAACCGCAAAAAAUAGAAACCUCAAGUUGUGGUCUAAACCACCAUAACUCUUCCGGGAUCCAUCCACACAUAACAGUCCAUUACAAUCAAAUACCUCCAAAUCAAUCAAAUUAUGGUAGGCAUCAAGCUCGUACAUACAACCAUGAAUCACUGGUAUAGCUUAACAUACCAAAUGAACUUAUAAUUGCCACAAUCAUGCUGAUUCAAACCAUUACUAACCGACCCAACUUCUUCAAAUUUACUAUUGACUUGCCUUAGAAAUAAUAAUAGAUCCAUUCAAAACAUAACGAAUUCAAUCAGCACUCAUUUUGAGUGACCCGAAUCACGAGUCCACGUCGUCUUAAUACCCAUGAACUAUCUCAUACCCUCCUUAUGUGCACAAUAGCAUCUCCCACUGGUACACCCAUUCUGAAAGAUCUUCUACGAGUCCAAAGUAGUUUCUCCCAUUUUCCAAUAUUUCCCCACAGAACCAAUGAUAACAUAGGAAUUUUCCAAAGUAUUCCUCAAACUCUGCUAUAAAAUCUUGGUCUUCAGUCACAUAAUGGACCCCAAAAUCCUUAGACACUGAACUUUAAUUCUUGAACCCACUAGAACUAUUACCGAGAGUUACCCACUCUAAACUGGUCCCGAAUACAUAACUAAUCACUAGCUAGCACAUGAACACUUCCAACGUAGAAACCAGGCGAAUUCUUUUCCUUGCACAUCACAUCCACAUGAAGCAUAAAUUUUGAGUCAUCCUCGACAUUUUCACAUGAAUCUAUAAGGUGAAAUGUAGAACAUAUACAUCAAAUUCCUUGCCUAAGAUACCCUUGAUGUUUCCUUUUCUUGGUCAUAAUUGAUCCACCAAUGCACCGAUAACCCGAAACUGUAUUGGUACACAACCGCGUGAUCCAAUCGUAGAUGGUGGGCACCCCCACUUAGCUUUAAGCAACAAUCAUAUAAAUCUAUAACCAAUAAUAACUCCUCUUUCUUAAUUACCAUGAUCUCGCACCGUUAACCCGUCACAUUUCUUAUAGUCUCUAGUUAAACUUUUCUUGAACAUUAUGAAUUAUCAGUCACAAUUGCAUAUUCGACCUUCUGUUGGGUAGUAAGUAUAACUCUUUGUAGAAUUUCAUCAAUAUCACGUAAUCUCUAACCUGCUCACAAGAGAUCACCCACAUGUUGAAUUCUAUGCAGACAUCUUCCAAUAACGCUACACUAGGUACAACUACCAUGAAUUCAGUAAACCCUCCUGAGCCAUGCUCGUCCACCAGCUGUAGGAGUCUGUUCAUUCCCCGUUGAUAUCAACUAAAAGUUCAACAAUACAUUCCAAACUAAAAGUCAUGUUGCAUCUCAAAUGAUAAUAAGGUUUUCAUACACCUCUUCUGUAGACCUAGUCACUUUCCACCAUGACUCCCUAAUCGUUUUAAACUUCCUCAAGGUACGUGAGUAUCCUACCAUAGAAUCCAAACGCUACUCUGCCACUCCAACUUUGGUUAAACCAUCUCCUUAAGAAACUUCUCAACCUCUAUUGUUCACGCUAGCAAUUCAACCACCACGAGAUACCUUCCACCAUGUCCUUCCUUAUCCUUCGGUGCCAAAUGCUGCCCCAAAUCGAAACCCAUCUCUGUAGAACCUAAAUUGAUAAAUUCCUACCAACUCUAAACCUCCUCGAAGACUAUCUUUCUCGAUCCAUCAUCUUUAGAAACACUGAUUGGAUUUUGAGAUUGAUACAUACCGCCAUCUUUGACAAUCUCUUCUCAGGCACCGUUGUACAACACCCUACCCCAAGAGAAAAUCAAUAAGACCAGAACACUGGCGAACCUUAAUACAUUUGAAAAAGGGCGACGAUACCACAUCACAAAUGAGAAUUCCACCACGCUCGAAAUAUCAAGUAUCGUUACUCCAUCAACCAAAAUCUAAACAUCCAUAAAUAGAUUGCCUUUCCUCUACUGGAAUUAAAUGCCAAACCUCUAAACCAUGCACUGAAAGAUCCUCCUUUUGAGUCAUUCACUGCCUCAACACGUAUACAGAACCCUACUAUUACGAAAACAUUGUGCGAUAACAAUUCAUGAACAUCAUAGCAAUCUGUGCAUAGCCUCAAAACCAUAGGAAAUACAUAUACAGAGUUGAAACUAUAGAAUAUCCUUCUGCAAGGACACAAUAAUAUCCUGCCUGAAUAGACCACGUCUGCAGUACCACUACAACUCCCCGAUGCCCAAUUGCUAACAAGUGCUUCACGUCGCAUAAUAUUGAGUAGGAAGGAAAUAAAGGCAUAAGUCUCAAAGGAAUCAAAUCGCACGAUGGGGAAUAAAGAAGGGAAGUGCUCCUAAAAGCCCUAUAGCCUCUCAAAUAUAAGCAUAGACAUAUAUGUACCGAUCUACAAGACUCUACUAGACUUGAUCAUGACUCGUGAGAACCAAGAGAACCUAACACUCUAACACCAAGCUGCCACUACUCAAAUCCACUAUAGUUCAUGACGGUGCCACACGCCACCGCCAGGUAAACCAACGGUGAUUGAUCAACAUAAUUACUCAUUUUAUUACUUUAGUGUCACGACCCCAGUUCGCCCUCCAUGAACAAUCAUGACAGCACCUAGCCUCUACGACUAGGUAAGCCUAACAAAUUGCAAAAACAAAAAAUGACAGAAUAAAACUAGCCAUAAGCUGCAGAAAUAACAUAAUGAAGCGUUUAAGAUGUCGCUUGCCAUGUACAAUACAAACUCUCAAACUGAAAUAACAUUUUCACAUAACCUAAAAUCUCAUGAAAUCACAAGCUAUUGGAUAAGUACAAGUUCCUAACUUUGGAAUGUCGAAACAAAAGUAAAUACAGAAGGGAUGAUACUAUAAGGGAAAAUGGAAAAGGACUCCUCGGUCUGCGGAUACAGCAGAUAUACCUCGAAGUCUCUAGAGAAUCUCUUUGCCUCAAGGGUAAUAUGGCUGAGUCGAAGUACCUGGAUCUACAUAUGAAAAACAUGCACAGAAAGGGCAUGAGUACACCACAACAGUACUCAGUAAGUGCCAAGCCUAGCCUCGGUCAGGUAGUAACGAGGAAAGUCAGGGCCCUAUCGAGUUUAGAUGAAAAAUAGUGUAUAACAGCAUAGUAUAAGAGAGUACAAAUAAGUGCAAAUUGUAAGAAGUAACACCGGAUAGUAAGAAUAACAACAACUAUAACAGACGCCAAAUAAUCACAUAAGGAAUACAACUUGACAUAGAGAUAACAACCAGGGAUCUCCCAGGAUAUCGUCCUGUAGUCCCAAAUAUCAAUAUCCAGAGGAUCUCCCGGGUACCGUCCCGUAGACCAACUCAUAAUGCACGAGGAUCUCUCAGAAUACCAAUCUAUAAUCCCAAACAUAAAUAUCCAGUACUGGGGGAAUAUACCGGGUGCAGUCCCAUAGUUCCAAUAUAAAAGUGUAUGAGGAUCUCCCGGAAUACAAAUUCGUAGUCCCAAAGUAAACACAGGGGAAUCUCAUGGGAUAUCGUCCCGUAGUUCCAAAGUAAACACAUAGCAGUAACACGAAGAACACUCAAUCCAAUUCAAAUUACCUACCAAGGUAAACCAGGUAUUUCUAACCUAGCAUGCAACAUAGAAUCCAAACAAGGUAGUUUGAGCAAAUAAAGCAAUUAAGUCAAUUAGGCAUGCUUCCCUAAGCUAAUAGUAAGCUUAAACCGCGAGUGGUAUAGAUAGGAAAAGAAGCUUAAUUAUAUUAAAUUAAUGAGAACAUGACUUUUAACAAUUAGCACAAGUACGCACUCGUUACCUCACGUACAAGGCAUUUCAAAUAUCAACAAUACUGAAUCCUAAGAGGAGUUUCCCCACACAAGGUUAGGCAAGCCACUUACCUCGAACCACCUCAAAUAAUCAAUCGAAACCCACUCUCUUGCCAUGAGUACUCAACUCCAAAUGGCCCAAAUAUAUUCAAAUCAAUUGCAUAAUAUAAAUAUCACUUCAAGUAAUUGAUUCCACUAAUUAACUUUGAGCUAAUACGCGAAAUUAGGAAAAAUGACCAAAACGCCCCCUAAGCCCACGUCUCGGAAUUGGAUUAAAUUUAUAUUUUCAGAAUCCUCAUACUCUCACAAGUUCAGUCAUACCAAAAGGACCAAAAUCGAACCUCAAAUGGUCCCUUAAAUCACCACUCAAAGCUCUCUAAUUAUCAAACCCUAACCCCCAAUCUACCACUGAUUUUCCUUCAAAUUUCAUGCUUACACAUAUAAAAAUCACCAAAAUAACGAGAUUAGGAUCAAGGGACCUUACCUCAAUAAAUCCAUCUGAAAAUCCCCCUUGAAAAUGCUCCCCAAAGCUUCUUCGCGUUUGAAAGGAGAUGAAAAAUACUCAAAUUCGCGAAGCAAAUUCAUUUAUAGUUUCUGACCCAGUUUUUUCGCACCUGCGGUCCAUAUCCGCUACUGCGGUAAAUGGAACCACUUAUGUGAUUCUCACUUAAGCCCCCUUCUCCACACUUGCAGCCUAGAAUUUGCAUCAACAGUCCCGUAGGUGUGGCACACCUUCCGCUUAUGCAGUCUCAGCCUUUCUUCCUCUUGACCAUAUAUGCGGCUUCCCUUUCGCUUCUGCAGGCUCGCACCUAUAGUUCCUAAGCCGUAGGUGAGGUUAGGACAGCAAACUCAGCUGCUUCUGCUGAAAAUUCCCAACUCCAAACUUCCUAUUAACCAUCCAAAAUAAUCCCGAGGCCCUCGGGACCUCAACCAAAAGCACGAACAAGUCAUAUACCACUAUCCAAACUUGUACCAAUCCUCAUGACACCUAAAACAACAUCGAAACAUCAAAUUAACCACUGAUUCAAGCUUAAGAACUUCAAAAACUCUCAAAUUAUGCUUUCGAUCAAAAAGUCGAUCAAACCUUGUCCGAAUGACCUGAAAUUUUGCACACACAUCACAUUCAACACUACAGAGCUACUCCAACUUCCGAAAGUCCACAACGACCCUUAGAUCAAAAUCUCAAUAUCGAACUAGAAACUUUAAAAAUACAACUUUUGGCAUUUCAAACAUAAAUAAGCUACGGACCUCCAAAACACAAUCCGAACACGCCUAUAAGCCCAAAAUGAACCGAUGGAAUUCCAUUCCGAGGCCGUCUUUAUACUGCUCUGACUAUGGUCUAAAUUCUAAAACAUAAACACUUAUUUAGGGACUAAGUGCCCCCCAAAACUCUCUGAAACUCCAAAUAAAUUAUCCCGGCAACUCAAAAUAGUAGAAACAAACACAGAGAAUGCAGUUAUUAUGGGAUCGGGGUGUAAAUUCUUAAAAAGAUCGGUCAGGUCGUUACAUCCUCCUAUACUUAAACAUUCGUUCAUACUCGAACGAGCAUAGAGACAUACCUAAAGUAGUGAAUAGAUGACGGUAACGGCUACGCAUAUACUGAUCGGUCUCCGAAGUCGCCUCCUCGACCAGCUGACCCCGCCACUAACCUUUACUGAUACAAUAUUCUUUGACCUCAACUUCCGAACCAGCCUAUCCAAUAUUUCCACCGGCUCCUCAACAUAUGAUAGAUCCUUGUCCAACUAGACUGAACUGAAAUCCAACACGUGCGAUGGAUUACCAUGAUACCUCUGGAGCAUCGAAACAUGAAAUACCGGAUGAACUCCUUCCAAGCUAGAAGGUAAGGCAAACUCAUAAGCAACCUCCCCAACACGCUGCAAUAUCUUAAAAGGACCAAUAAGCCUCGAACGGAACUUUCCUUUCUUCCCAAAUCUCAUAACGCCCUUCAUAGGCAAAAUCCAAAGCAGAACUCGCUCACUAAACAUAUAGGAAACAUCAUGAACCUUUCGAUCUCUGUAAUUUUUCUAUUUGAACUGGGCUGCACGGAGUCUAUCCUGAAUCACCUUAACCUUCUCCAAAGUAUCCUGAACCAAGUUUGUGCCCAAUAAUCUAACCUCACCCGGCUCAAACCAACCCACCAGGGAUCUACACCAUCUACAGUAUAAAGCCUCAUACGUUGCCGUCUGAAUGUUAGACUGAUAGCUAUUGUUGGCAAGAACUGAUCCUGAGACCCUUUAAACUCAAUCACACACGCACGGAGCAUAUCCUCAAGAAUAUGAAUAGUACGCUCGAACUGUCUGUCCGUCUUAGGGUGAAAUUGUUUGUACUCAACUAUACCCGAGUACCCAACUCAUGUAAUACGUCCCUCCAGAACCGUGAUGUGAAUUGAAUACCUCUAUCUGAAAUGAUGGAAACUGGAAUACAAUGUAGAUGCACAAUCUCCCAAAUAUAAAUAUCCACAAUCACUCCGAAGAUAGGUAGUACAUACAGGGAUGAAGUGCACGGACUUGGUCAGCCGAUCCACAAUUACCCAAAUGGCAUCGAACUUUCUCAAAGUCCAUGGGAGCCCAACUACGAAGUCCAUGGUGAUCCGCUCCCAUUUUCACACUGGAAUCUCUAUCUGCUGAAGCAACCCACCCGAUCUCUGGCGCUCAUACUCCACCUGCUGACAAUUGAGACACCGAGCUACAAACCCAACUAUAUCUUUUUUCAUCCACCUCCACCAAUAAUGUUUCCUCAAAUCCUAAUACAUCUUCGCGGCACUCGGAUGAAUGGAAUACCGCAAAAUAUGGGCAUUCUCUAAAAUCAACUCCCGAAGCCUAUCAACAUUGGGUACACAAACCCAACCUUACAUCAUUGAUAACCCGUCAUCACCAAUAGUCACAUCUCUGGCAUCAUCAUGCAGAACCCUGUCCAUGAGGACAAGCAAAUAAGCUCAUCAAGCCGAAGCUCUCUAAGGCGAUCAAACAAGGAAGACCAAGAAACCACGCAAGCUAGAACCUGACUAGGCUCCGAAAGAUCCAAUCUCACAAACUGGCUGGCUAAGGCCUGAAAAUCCAUCUCCAUGGGCCUCUCCGCCGCUGGUAAAUAAGCCAAAUUCCCCAAACUCUCUGCCCGGUGACUCAAAGCAUCGACCACCACAUUGGC
rnacentral:lncRNA from 1 species